CGGCGGCGAUGGCGGGGCGGGCCCGGGGCGGGGCCCGCGGAGCCCAUAAAAGCCCUGGCGCCGAGCUCCGCGGCCUCUUGCUCCGGAUCGGCCGAGGGCGGCGGAGCCCAAGGCGCCUGCCGGAGCCCCGUGCCUGGAGCCAGGCCGGCGAUGGGGGCACUUCCCCGGCGUGCGCCGGCAGGCCCGAGCCUCUGCCGGGGCCAGGCGGGCACUGUGAAGGCAGAAGUGGGGAGUUGAGCCUUGGGGAGACCUGAAAUUAAGGAUGCAGUUGACAGUGAAGAAAUAUGUGAUGUGGGCAGUUCUCUGGCUUGCUCCACCGUGCCUGAAUCUCUAGCAAAUAAUGGGCACUGUGAAGGCAGAAGUGGGGGGUUGAGCCUUGGGAGACGAAGCUGCAGCUGACAAUGAAGAGGUGUGGAUGAGGACAUUGCCUGGUUUGCUCCACCGUGUGUGCCCUGUUGUCAGGGUAGAAUGGUUGAGAUUUAUAAAAAGUUGUCCUGGGCCCUACUGGGGUUCCAGUGUUCUGCUUAAGAAGAUGGAUGGCUCUGCUGCUCCCAUGCUGCUGCCUGGGAUCCUCAUUCAAGUGACAACAUUCCCAUACCCUGCCAUAGCUCUGACCUCUCAAAGCUGUCAGGAGUGAUGGAUUUGUGUCCUGCCGACUUAGAUGGAGGGUGUUAACGUUUUCUGUCCCCUGGGUACAAGGCAUGUAACUGGAAUGGCUUCUGGAACUUGCUGCAUGUUUAAUGCAGCUUUUCUGCAGGGCUUUUUUCUGCAGGGGCUGCAUUCCCUGCCUGGCAGCUCAUGUUGUCCUGCCACAGUCAUGAAAGGCAAGGAAGCCCCUCCUGGGAGCAGCUGUCAGGUACAGGAGGAUGGCCUUGUGUGAAAGGUCAGCAGUCAGGGUUUGGUUCUCCCCUGCCAUCCAGAAAGCUUCAGUGGGGUAUCCCUGGCAGCCUGUGAAGUGGGCAAGGGCUGUCUGGGGUGCUGCAGCACAGUGUGUUUCUGUACUGUUGGAAGCCUGGUUUUAAUAAAAUCUUGAGUAAUGGGCGA